rnacentral:rRNA from 1 species
UACAGGGGGGGCAAGCGUUGUUCGGAAUUACUGGGCGUAAAGGGUUUGUAGGUGGCUUGCUAAGUCAGACGUGAAAUCCCUCAGCUUAACUGGGGAACUGCGUCUGAUACUGGCGAGCUUGAGUGCAGGAGAGGAACGCGGAAUUCCAGGUGUAGCGGUGAAAUGCGUAGAUAUCUGGAGGAACACCGGUGGCGAAGGCGGCGUUCUGGACUGCAACUGACACUGAAAAACGAAAGCCAGGGGAGCAAACGGG